CACACGCUCCCAGUGGCUUAGCUGCAAGUCUGCUGGCUUAUGACACUAAAAACUGGAUUUCGAUACCUGUAGUAGGCAAAGCACAGAUAGCCCAUUGUGCAGCUUUGUGCUUAACAACUUGUCUGCGAAUUGCACCUGAAGAUUGCUCCGAUCAGGAAACCGGAAUUCAGGAGAUAAACUAUUUUGUGGUCCAUGGUUUUAACGUCAAAUCAUGAAUAUCGAGGACCUAUGCUGGGUGCCGGUGACGAGAGUACAUCUUUGACAUUCAAGGAGAAAUAUACAGAUACUGCCGAUCAGACAUAGAUAUACUUUAACAGUGCUUGUCUUCAAUUCAGAGAAGAGUUUCUCGCAACCUGUGAAGUAGAUCCCUUCAGAUACACGACCACUGCUUCUGUAUGCAUGACUAUACAGAAGGUAAUGUAUACCACCACGAUUGAUAGCUCUCGUACCUAAUCAUGAAUGCUUUACGAUCAACAACUAUUGCCAAGUAAGUAUCCAAUGGUUAGGUUAUGUAUAAAAAUCUGAGGGGGUCAAGAUUCACGCACCUAAAGGUGGUGUGAAACAAAUCCUGAUGUAUAGAGUAGACAGUUUCUGUAUGGAACAAAACACGAUCUGUGAGUUUUAAGGGUGCUAUUACCAUGGUUGUAAUAAAUGUUAUAACUCUGAAACAAAGAAUGUAGUUGUAAAUAGACCCAUAUGCUAUAUUAGAAAUCGUACAUUAGAAAGAUGGGAACAACUCGAAGCUCUAGGAUGCAAGGUCAUAACAGUAUGGGAGCACGAGUUUAAGAAAAUGAAGUCUAAUGAUACAGAUUAAUUGAAUUUCUUUAGGGACCAUACAGUAGUUUCCCACCUGGAUGUACCAGACGCUUUUUAUGGAGGGAGAGUCAGCACGAAAACUUUUAUAUGAUAUAUAAGAAGGAGAAAUGAUCAAGUAACUGGAUUUUACAUCGCUAUAUCCAUGGGCAAACAUUGAGUAUCAAGUUGGACAUCCUACAAUAAUAACAAUAAAUUUCUCUAACUUAAAUGAUUAUUUUGGUUUUAUAAAAUGUAAAAUUAUAGCCCCGAGGAAACUAUAUCCUCCAGUUUUACUAUUUAGAAGUAAUGCUAAAUUAACCUUUCCUUUAUGUAGAUCAUGUGUGGAAUUCAAAUCAGGCCACCAUGUAACCACAACGAUGACAAGAGAGCUAUCAUCGGUACCUGGAUCACAGAAGAAGUAAAAAAAGCAGUCGAGUGCAGAUACCAGAUUCUGAUCGUCGUCAGUGUAAUAGGGUGAUGCGGCACAUUCAUCUCACUCCAUGGAAAUCUGGUAACGUCGACUAUCCCUACCUGUGAAGUAUGGCUACAUUGUUGAGAGAGAACUUUACCACUGUUUAUACAAAGGAGAGAGAGAAAGCCGAGAUAUUGAAAAGUCUUCCUUCUUACAAUAUGGAAUUGUUUGGAUGUCCCAAGGUUAAUCAAUUUCAAAAUAGACUCUGUCCUGUCCUUUUAAAAUACUAACAAUUAU